UACAGAGGUCUCAAGCGUUUGUUCGGAUUCAUUGGGCGUAAAGGGCGCGUAGGCUGCGGGGCAAGUCGGGUGUGAAAUCUCAGAGCUCAACUCUGAAACUGCACUCGAUACUGCUUUGCUCGAGGACUGGAGAGGAGAUUGGAAUUCACGGUGUAGCAGUGAAAUGCGUAGAUAUCGUGAGGAAGACCAGUGGCGAAGGCGGAUCUCUGGACAGUUCCUGACGCUGAGGCGCGAAGGCCAGGGGAGCAAACGGGG
rnacentral:rRNA from 1 species